AAAAUCAUUCCCUUUGAUUUCAAGCUCCUUCCUUCAUACAGUCCACGAUGUUUUAAGUUCUGUGUUUUGGUGGUUUUGUUAUGUGUCAGACAUUGUCUUAGGCACUGAUGAUCCAGUAGUGAACAAAAUCAGACAUAGUCCCUGCUUUCGGUCUGAAAUGUUUCAGGGGAGAACUAGUGAUGGUUUAAUCACAGAAAUCAAUGCAGAAGUGCAGCAGUGGCGAAGGUUACAAGGGAGAAGUGCACGAUUCUAAGAGCAUUUAUGUAACAGGAAGAUUUGAUCUUCUUGCAGAAGGCAGGGAUGAAUCCAAAGGGAAGUAAUGCUUUAGCUGAGAUCGGAAGGAUACUUUGAAUUUACCCAGGGGGAAGGAUCAAGUGAGAGCAUGUAAGAAGACUGACAAAAAGGAAGCAGGUACAGACAAGGAUGUGAAAGACGUUUCCUGUAGCCGCAGUGGAGAGGAUCAGGGGAACUUGGAGUGAGAUCAGAAUGGAGACCCCACCCAGCAUCCCCUACACCUCUGUUCCUUCCCAACAGAAUCCCCAUUUUGUUCAGGAAUGCAGACAACCCCCAACACAGUGCUCUGCCUUCGGGGACACUAACUUCACUCCCAGUGUAAAGGGGUCACUCCCUUAGACUUGUGCCCUGAUUCUUGCAACUGAGAAGAGAAGGAAAGUUUCCCGUGGACUUCCAAGGAAAGUUACCUUGCUCCUAAGAGUGAGUCAAAAGAAAAGAUGGUCCUUAAUUGUUCCUCUGAGUUUUGUCAAAUCUAGAUGGGAAGUGGGGGGCAGCUGCAGUCGUCUUCUCCUCCUGAAGAUGGAGCCGGCUCCAAGGAUGGUGGAGCGGACACAUGAGAACCUUUCCCCUUGAUAAAGGCUGAGGUGCCGAAUCAAUGUUCCCCGAAGGCCACUCUACCGCAGGACUUCCGGUUACGUGGGACCCUGUGAGUCGCCUGGAUGUCAAAGAAUUAAGCCUGUCUUGAAUGAACAGAAGUAACAGGAGUACGGAGGGAAUUUCCUUCUCUUUUCCUGGUCUCCACCGUGAUUCUCUGAUUUGAAUAUGCAGUGGCAGAAAAGAAAGGAGAGGCGAGGCACAGAACAGAAAUCAUCAAAGAAAAGCAUCCCAUCUAGUGCCUUCGAUUCUGGCUGAUCAUUGGGAAAGCCUCCGGGGGGGCCACUGGGGGAAUGAGUAUGACAACAGAUGAAGAGUCUUUGAUAGAUUAGUAAGGGAUUUCAUAAGCUGGAGUAUUAUUAGCUUUGGAGAUUGCAAAAGGCUAGGAGUCCAAAUGAACAAUUUUCCAACAUAAUUUGAACAUUUAUUUCACUGAAGUUAUUAUUCACAACACAAAUCCUCCCCGUUUUCUGAAAGUCGAAGGAUACGGUUGCAUGUGUUUGUUGCUGUUUUUAUUUUAUUUUUUUCCUCUCACUCUAAUAAAUGCUCUUUGCCUAUG